CUCUCUCGCACGAAACCCCCCUGCAGUCUUCAAUUUCUUCUUUUCCUUUGACCGGUCUUCUCUUUUAUCUUUUCUUCACUUGCUUCCCACGCCAGGGCAGCUGAACCCUACUCCCUCACGUCUUCUGCUUUCUUUAAUUUGCUUGGACGGAAGCAAACCCGCAGAAGCAGCCCCGCGAUUCCUCUUCUUCUCUGCCAUGCCGCACUCACGCAUGCCUCAUCCCCACCGAGAAUUUUCUUCCCUGUAGCUCACCCACGUAUUUCAUUCGGUCAGCAAAUCAGCAACUUCUUCUCAUGGUUAACUCCAGCAGCGACGAAAAGGAUUCCUCCGAGAGACCUCACGUCCCGCAAGCCCCGCAGCUGCAACUCAGCCCGGUUCCUGGUAGUUCCAUCACUGCGGCCACCGAAUCCAGUCAAACCGUGUCCAUUCAGCCACUGAUUUCAUCCCUGCAGAACCGAUUCAGCAAGGUCAGAAGCUCGGGAGCAGAAUACCCAACUCGAACAGCGAGCUUGUAGGCCGAUUUCGGCCUCGGUUUGGCCCCACUUGGCAGUCCUGCUUUGAGGUUUAUCGGCACUCGUCGCGUGCUCGUCAAUUUGAUCCCAACGGAUCUUUAAUCAAGUGAGUUUUACUCACUAAUGCCUUCUUAGUGUGCUAAUUAUACUUAAAGGUUGAUUAGUGUUAAUUAAGUGUAAUUAGGUGGUUAGAUUAGAAUUGAUUAGUGAUUUUUAGUUAAUUGCUUUGCAUAUUAGUUAUGUGAUUAGUGUAAUUAGAUAGAGAAUUGCCUAUAGUAUUUAUUGGAAGCUUCUUGGGAUUUUUCCCGUCCCUUAUCAGGUGUUAAUUAAGUAAAUCAGGCCUAGGUGGAAUUUUUAGGAAUUAAAUAUUAAUUUUCGAAAUUAAUUAUUUAAUUAUUUAUUUCCCGAAAAUUCAACUGGGAUGGCCAGUGACCGGGAUUUUAUGCUGAUGAUCGCAGUCCGUUUAUUUAAUUGAGUUUCAUAUUGUGCUAAAUUGGAAUUAUUAUGUUUAUUUAUUAAUUUUCGAAAUUAAUUAUUUAAUUAUUUAUUUCCCGAAAAUUCAACUGGGAUGGCCAGUGUCCGGAAUUUUGUGAUGAUUGUCGUAGAUCAGUCCGUUUAUUUAUUUGAGCUUUAAUUCGUGUCGAAUUGAUUUAAUGGUGCAUUUUAAGUUAUGUUAUUAAAUAAUGCAAUUUUCGCCUUGUGAUUAAGAAUUGGUCGGGUAUCGGUUGUCAGUAUCGAAAGUGAGUUGGUAAAUCACCUGGAGAAUGCAUGUGGCCUGGUGAAUUGGAAUGUCACCUGGGAAAGACACGUGGCUUGGUGAUUAGAUAUGUCAUCUUGGCGAAAAAGUAGCCUUAGAGAAUGCACGUGGCUCGGAGACUCGGUAUGUCUUCCUAGAGAAUGCACGUGGCUCGGUGACAGAGUAUGGCAUCGUAGAAAGGGGUCGAGUGGGACCAUAAAGCCACUAAAUCUUGGAAUGGUCGGGUGGGACCGUAAAGCCACUAGAUCAUGAGAGGGUUGGGUGGGACCAUAAAGCCACUAAAUCUUUAAGGGGGUCGGGUGGGACCAUAAAGCCACUAAAUCUUGGAAUGGUCGGGUGGGACCGUAAAGCUACUAGAUCAUGAGAGGGUCGGGUGGGACCAUAAAGCCACUAAAUCUUGAAAAGGUCAGGUGGGACCAUAAAGCCACUAAAUCUUGGAAAAGUCGGGUGGGAUCGUAAAGCCACUAGAUCAUGAGAGGGUCGGGUGGGACCAUAAAGCCACUAAAUCUUGAAAAGGUCGGGUGGGACCAUAAAGCCACUAAAUCUUGGAAAGGUCGGGUGGGACCAUAAAGCCAUUAGAUCUUGAGAGGGUCGGGUGGGACCGUAAAGCCUCUAGAUCUUGAAAGGGUUGGGUGGGACCGUAAAGCCACUAGAUCUUGAGAGGGUCGGGUGGGCCCGUAAAGCCACUAAAUCCAAGGAAUUGCUUGGUGUGGGAUGAAUGACCUAGAAAUGGUCCGGCUGGUAUGAAAUCGACUAAGUCGGUUAGAUCGAUGCUUCGAUCUGUGAUGUGAUUGCUUGUGUACCUAUAUGAUAUGUGCUAAUAUGCAAGUGGAAUUUGAGGCCAAGGUAAGUCCUCCGACUCAUGUUGUGCAUAGGCAGCCCUAAGGUGUAUUAGUUUACUAAUCGGGUCUUAGGGGAUAGAACUUGCUGAGACGUUGUCUCAGUGGUUAUUGAAUAACCAUUUUAGGACCUGGAUGAGGAGCCUAAGGAGCAUGAAUCUGGUGAGGAGAUCUCUGUUGAGGAACCCGAAGAGGAGUACAUGGAGGAGGACCCCGAGGAUAACUUCGAGUACGACCCGGAUGAGGACUGAGAUCCUGUCCUGUCUUGUCAGACCUUGUGUGCAUGUGAAUAGAUGUUAGACCAGAGUUGCAUAUAUAUAGUAUUGUAGAAUACUAUGAGAUGCAUGUAAAAAGGUGUGGUUGUAAAUUUUCAGUAUGAAAAAUAUAUG
rnacentral:lncRNA from 1 species